UGUCCGAGUUGUAAUUUGUAGAAGCAUCUUUUGGAUUGGUCCUUGCAUAUGUUCCUUGGAACAGGACAUCAUAGAGGGUGAGAAUCCCGUUCAUGGUGGGGAAUCCAAUUCUUUGUAAAGUGCUUUCGAAGAGUCGAGUUGUUUGGGAAUGCAGCUCUAAGUGGGUGGUAAAUUCCAUCUAAAGCUAAAUAUUGGCGAGAGACCGAUAGCGAACAAGUACAGUGAUGGAAAGAUGAAAAGAACUCCGAAAGGAGAGUGAAAAAGGACGUGAAAUUGUUGAAAGGGAAGUGCUUGAGAUCAGUCUUAAGGUUUAGUGAUCAGUCUUCCUUUUGGUUGGUGCACUCACUAUUUCUUAGGCCAACAUCAGUUUUGGCGGCAGGAUAAUGACAUUGGAAUGUGGCUCUUUCGGGAGUGUUAUAGCCUUUGUUGAUACUGCCUGCUUAGACUGAGGACUGCGCUUUUGCUAGGAUGUUGGCAUAAUGAUCUUAAGCAGC
rnacentral:rRNA from 1 species